AGGAAAGCAAGUGACUAAAUAGACUAAGAACAAGGAUCUGCGAAUCGUGUAACAUCACAUACGCAAAGAAAAGUAGCCUGUGGCAAAGAAAACACAUUGUCACCAGCUAAGAGAGCUGCUGCUGGACGGAAGGCUCUAAUGGCUUUGCUAGAGAGCUGCGAAAGGCAGUCCCGGAGAGCCCAGCUCCUCCAGGAGGAAUGAGAGCGGAGCAGCGAUCUGGGCAUCGGUGAGAACUCUGCGGGCAAGCGAUGAAGUGGAAAGUCUGCACACCCCUGGCGGGCCGGAAAUGUGAGCUUACCUUCAGUUCCUCAUGAGGCCUGGGGCAGGACAGACACACAGGAUGUGACCAACACAGAUUUGUGGAGAUUUUGCAUGAAGAAAAGGAGAGCAGGAUGGCAAUGUUUCCUGGAAGCCUGUCUCUUGCCCAGGGAAAACCCCAGAAUGGUCAGUGCCACCUACUCUCCUCCCUUUCAGAAAGGACUAACUGAUCCUCCUCUUGCCCUGACUGUAAAUUCUGAACUGACUUCCUAAGAAUACGUCAGACCUUGGAAGGAGAAAGAGCAUAUUGGCUAAAGGAAGCCCCACCACAUUCUCACAUUCACAGAAACGAGCAGGAAGCGGAUGCAGGGACACGGUCUUUGGAAAUAGGUCAAGUAAAGGGAAUGGCUUAGAAAAUCACCUUCCAUUUGCCUUCAGAGGCUAUUAAACAGGAAAGGAGAUUCCCAAAGGAAGAGGUGAGAUGUCUGCCCCCAUCGAUCUCUAUAAAUAGUCUAAAUACUCAGCAUUCUGGAAUGAUUCAAGGUGUGAUGGCCCUGGCUGAGGACAGGAGAAGAAUGAGGGCACCCCUCGUGGUUCCCCCACCUGUAGGAUUGUUCAUGGAAGCUGUGGUUUUGUUGUUCCAGCCAAACUCACCAGAACAUACACUCUCUCUGAGCAUUCUUAUUCAUAUCGUGUAAGUAACUUGAUAAGCAUUUCCUGAAUCUUCCUGGUGCUGUGAAAAUAAUGACCCAGCUUAUACACACUUUCCAGGAAUGGAUGAAGUGAGACGCAUCUGCAGAUCAGCCUUCCUCACAGCCUACGGUGUCCAUGCCCAAACACCCCUCUCCAGCCACGAAUGUCCUAACUCCACUUUUGAGCUUCACAG
rnacentral:lncRNA from 1 species